UUUUUUUUUUGAAUUAUUUUUAAAACCUUUCUCUGCUUUUCCAUUUUUUGUAGAUAUUAUUUUUCUUCUUUUUUUAAAAAAAGAGGAACGCAUAACAACAAAAACGUGGUCGACGGAACAUGUGGGUGGUGGAGUUGUCUUGUAUCGGGGACCACUCCACACUGUUUCAUUAUAAUUAACGCCGUGAGGUUUUGCUCCGUUUUGCGUUUCUCACUCUUUUUACGAUUGUACCCUCCUCCUUGCCUUUGUUGACUGACAUAUAUAU
rnacentral:lncRNA from 1 species